AACGAACGCUGGCGGCAUGCCUAACACAUGCAAGUCGAACGAGACCUUCGGGUCUAGUGGCGCACGGGUGCGUAACGCGUGGGAACCUGCCCUUAGGUUCGGAAUAACUCCCCGAAAGGGGUGCUAAUACCGGAUAAUGUCUUCGGACCAAAGAUUUAUCGCCUUUGGAUGGGCCCGCGUUGGAUUAGCUAGUUGGUAGGGUAAAAGCCUACCAAGGCGACGAUCCAUAGCUGGCCUGAGAGGAUCAUCAGCCACACUGGGACUGGGACACGGCCCAGAAUCCUACGGGAGGCAGCAGUGGGGAAUAUUGGACAAUGGGCGAAAGCAUGAUCCAGCAAUGCCGCGUGAGUGAUGAAGGCCUUAGGGUUGUAAAGCUCUUUUACCCGGGAUGAUAAUGACAGUACCGGGAGAAUAAGCUCCGGCUAACUCCGUG
rnacentral:rRNA from 1 species